UACGAAGGGGGCUAGCGUUACUCGGAUUGACUGGGCGUAAAGGGCGCGUAGGCGGCUUGUACAGUCAGACGUGAAAUUCCUGGGCUCAACCUGGGGGCUGCGUUUGAUACGUGCGGGCUUGAGUUCGGAAGAGGGUCGUGGAAUUCCUGGUGUAGCGGUGAAAUGCGCAGAUAUCAGGAGGAACACCAAUUGCGAAGGCAGCUCGCUGGGACGUUACUGACGCUGAGACGCGAAAGCGUGGGGAGCAAACAGG
rnacentral:rRNA from 1 species